rnacentral:rRNA from 1 species
AUGGCAAACCUCGUGCAGGAGCUCAUGCUAGAGACGCCCCCGCGGGCAUGGUUUCUGUUCCUGCUCCCCCUCCUCCUCUUGUCUCUGCAUCACUGGUUCACCAGAAAGACAGGAUCAACAGGGCAGCGCCUCCCACCUUCGCCGCCGGCGCUGCCCAUAAUCGGGCACCUGCACCUCGUCGGCGCCCUCCCACACGUCUCCCUCCGUGACCUGGCCAGGAAGCACGGUCCGGACGUGAUGCUCCUCCGGCUGGGCGCCGUGCCCACCCUCGUCGUGUCCUCUCCGCGCGCCGCAGAGGCAGUGCUGCGCACGCACGACCACGUCCUGGCGUCGCGGCCACGCUCCGUUGUCUCCGACAUCAUCAUGUACGGCUCCUCUGACAUCGCCUUCGCGCCAUACGGCGAGUACUGGCGGCAGGCAAGGAAGCUUGUCACCACCCACAUGCUGAGUGUUAAGAAGGUGCAGUCUUUUCGCAGCGCCGGCGCGGAGGAGGUCAGCAUGUCGAUGGCCAAGAUCAACGAGGCAGCCACAGCUAGUGGUACAGUCGACAUGAGCGAGCUGCUCAACUCAUUCUCGAAUGACAUGGCGUGCCGUAUCGUGUCGGGCAAGUUCUUCCUGAAAGAUGGACGGAGCAAGUUGUUCCGGGAACUCAUCAACGACACCUCACGGCUUCUGGGCGGGUUCAACUUGGAGGAGUACUUCCCAGCAUUGGGUAGGGUAGGAGUGCUUAAGAGGGCGGUAUGUGCCAAGGCCGAAAGAGUGAGGAACAGAUGGGCUGAUCUGCUGGACAAGGUGAUCGACGAUCGUGUGAGCAAGCGUAAAUCAGCGUCUGAUCACAAGGAUGGCGACUUCGUAGAUAUUCUGUUGUCUGUUCAGCAAGAGUAUGAUCUCACAAGAGAGCACAUGAAAGCUCUCCUCACGGAUGUAUUUUUCGGUGCAACAGACACGUCAGCUAACGUCCUCGAAUUCACCUUGGCUGAGCUCAUGAGAAGGCCACACUUCAUGCGGAAGCUACAAGAUGAAGUAAGGAGUAUCAUACCCCGGGGACAAGAAAUUGUGAGCGAAGCUGAUAUGAACAACAUGGUGUACCUAAGAGCAGUAAUAAAAGAGUCUCUCAGGCUGUAUCCUGUUGCGCCUCUCCUUGCUCCGCACCUGGCCAUGGCUGACUGUACCAUCCAUGGAUACAUGGUUCCUGCUGGGACACGUGUCGUCGUCAAUGCAUGGGCCAUUGGGAGGGAUUCAAGCUCCUGGGAUGAUGCGGAAGAAUUCGUACCUGAAAGAUUUACAGAUGAAGGCAACGCUACGAAUGUUAACUUCAAAGGGAAUGAUUUCCAGUUCUUGCCGUUCGGGGCAGGACGAAGGAUAUGCCCUGGUAUAAACCUCGGAAUCGCAAAUGUUGAGCUUAUGUUAGCAAACCUCGUGAACCAUUUUGAUUGGGAACUUCCGGUUGGGGUUGAGAGAAAAGAUAUCGAUAUGACAGAGGUGUUCGGGCUAACCGUUCGUAGGAAGGAGAAACUAUUGUUGAUUCCAAAAUCACGCAUGUAA